CCCCCCCCCCCCCCCCUCCUUUUCCAUAUAUGUGCACACGAUGAAAUAAAAAGCAUACAGAUCGCGAGGGCUGCAGUUUCUGCUUACUGGAUGUUGUCCUAUUUGAGUGCAUGCCUUGGGUGGGGUUUCAACCAUGUCCAGCUUCCAACCACUAAUGAAUUUUAUAGUGUUGGGGUUGCAGAAUAAAAUGUAGGACUUGAUCUAUUGCUUGAACAUGUCACAAUCUGAAGCUAAUUGAUCACCCUUUCUCUUUCA